AUUGAACGCUGGCGGCAUGCCUUACACAUGCCAGUCGAACGGCAGCACGGGAGCUUGUACCUGGUGGCGAGUGCGGGAGGGGUGAGUAUUAGAUAGGCACCUGACUCUAAGUGGGCGUUGGCGCGGAGAAAGCGGGACUAAUACUGAUACCGCAUACCGCCUAAAGGUGGGGGACCUUGAGCUUCCGACCUUUCGGGUUUGCAGAUGGCGAUGUCGGAUUAGCUAGUUGGCGGGGUAAAGGCCUACCAAGGCGACGAUCAGUAGCUGGUCUGAGAGGAGGACCAGCCACACUGGAACUGAGACACGGCCCAGACUCCUACGGGAGGCAGCAGUGGGGAAUAUUGGACAAUGGGCGAAAGCCUGAUCCAGCAAUACCGCGUGUGUGAAGAAGGCCUUCGGGUUGUAAAGCACUUUUGUCCGGAAAGAAAAGCUUGGCCCUAAUACGGUCGGGGGAUGACGGUACCGAAAGAAUAAGCACCGGCUAACUACGUG
rnacentral:rRNA from 1 species